rnacentral:piRNA from 1 species
UNCACAGAUGUUGCCUACUGAUGAUGUAAGC